UGGGAAUAUGAGAGGUAUAGGAGGGAACACAUAGGCCAGAGUGAACUUCCAAGGUUGGGAUAGAGCAUCCUGUCCCCUGGCUCUGUGAUCGACCAGUCUGGAGAAGAAGGCUUCGACCUGGGUAUUCUCGGCCGUUGCCAUGAGGUCUAUAUCUGGGGUUCCCCAAAUAAAAGACCGCUCCUGAAAUACUUCGGGGCUUAGAUGCCACUCGCUCCUGUCUAUGGUCACGCGGCUCACGUAGUCCGCCAUGGUAUUCUGAAUUCCCGGAAGGUAUACUGCAGAGAUACCCUGAACAUUUUUCUGGCACCAACUCAUGAUGGGCCACAGUUCCUUCAUCAACAGUUGGCUGCGAGUACCGCCUUGAUGAGAAACAUAGGCCACAGCCGCCUGGUUGUCGGACUGGACUCGUAUCCAUCUGUUCUUCAGGAUCCUCCUGAAGUGUAUGAGAGCUGCGUGGAUGGCCCGUAAUUCCAAAACAUUCCCCGGAAGAACCGACUCCUGUUUGUUCCAUCAACCUUGAGUCGUCCGGUCCUGACAGUGGGCACCCCAACCAUGAGCGCUAGAAUCUGUUGUUAAUAGGACCCACUCGGGUUUUAUCAAAGGAAAACCUCUUUCCAAAUUCACCCUUCUUAGCCACCAGACCAGGUCCAUAUUGACUACAUGAGAGAUCCUCAAGGGUUGAUUCCAAUCCAUAACCCACCGGUUGAACUGGUUCAGGAACAACCUCUGAGGAACUCUGAGAUGCCACUGGGCCCACCUGACUAGUCCUAUAGAAGAGGUCAGAUUGCCCAGCAGUUGUGAGUAUGUUCUUGCUGUUAUCACACGAAGGUGCAGAAUCUUGUAGAUGAAGCGUAAAAUCCUCUGUAUCCUUUCCUGUGAAAGGGAGAUAGAGUUCCGGAGUGUGUCGAAGUUCGCCCCCGGAAACGUAAUCUUCUGGGAUGGAAUGAGGCUGCUUUUUUGUAGAUUCACUAACCAGCCGAAUCGAUGAAGUUCUGAUAGCACAAAUUCUCUGUGAAGCACCGCCGUCUGGACGUUUGGUGCUACCAGCAGAAGGUUGUCCAGAUAAUGGAACAAAGAGAUUCCCUGAAUCCUCAGCCGUUCUAUAAGAACAACCAAUACCUUUGAAAAGGUUCUGGGUGCUGUGCUCAGACCAAAUGGAAGUGCUCUGAAUUGGAAGUGGUCUUCUCCUAUAGCAAAUCGGAGAAAACGAUGAUGUUCCUUGGCUAUCGGGAUGUGAUAAUAGGCGUCCCGUAGGUCGAUGGAUAGGAGCCAAUCUGCCUUCCGGAUAGCUGGGGAGAUGGAUCUUAUAGACUCCAUCUUGAAGGAUCUGAUUAGAAGUCUCCUGUUGAUCCUCCGCAGGUCCAGGAUAGGUCUCCACUUGUCCUUGUCUUUCUGGACUAAGAACAGAGGUGAAUAGUGCCCCUUGAAUCGUUCCUCUUCUGGCACGAAACGAUAACCCUUUGGGACCUGAGGUUCUGAACAUAAUCUCCCAGAGCCCUGCUUCUGCCCUUGUCCGUGGGCAGACCUGUGGGAAUGAAGAAGUUGCUUCUGGGUCUUCUGAGGAAUUCCAAUCUGUACCCUCUUUGAAUUAUAGCUUUGACCCAGGCAUCUUGUAUGUCCUGUGCCCAAACCUUCCAGAAGAGGGAAAGUCGAGCACCGACCUCUGACGGAUAGUCAGAAGUUCUUGCCUCCACGAAAGGAAGGGUUUCUACCUCAGGAAGAAC